CUGUAGCUCAGGGGUUAGAGUGCCCGGCUGAUAACCGGGUGAUCGUGGGUUCAAAUCCCACCAGG
rnacentral:tRNA from 1 species